GUCCUCAAGGACUUGGGCUGGGCUGCCUGAAGGAGCUCUCAGCUACUAAGUGGGGGCAGGGCCGGGAGAAGCUGGGUUUCUAAUUUACAUCUGUGAAUCUCAACUAAUGGAGAAAACCAAAGAUGAGCAUUUUAUGGGAGUGUGGCCUCCUUGUCUACUUGGUUAUUCAUAGCAGAUUUUCUUGGAAUUCAUGUUCCCACUCUGUUGCCGUUAAUGGGGCAGACCACUUUGUCAGAAUUUAAGUGCUUCUAUUUAGGGGAGAUUGUGACAUUUAUUUGGCAACAUUAGGAGAUUGAUUAGAAUCAUGAAGGGCAAGGAAAACUCAAUCCUGUGAGAGCCCACAGUUACUUAAGAAAAGUGUGGGAAAAUGAGGAUUUAGAGCUCAUUAUAAAGUGUUUCUCCAAAGACUUUCACAGCCACGAAAGUCGUUUCCUAUUAUUUUGCUAUCUUUCAUUCUGCUAACAUUCCUCAGAAAUUUGUAAUUGCAGCCAGAGGGCUAAUUUCAGGUCCGUUACCAUCUUCAGUGACAUUGCCUGAAAGGUCUAUGGUUGGCGCUUUCUUAAGAUGUGUGUGAGAACUUUCAGUUUCUUCUGAUGGACUCAAGUUUGCUAUCAAAGAACAAGUAAGUUCUACACCAAGGACCCCUGAUUAGAGGGCAUCUUCCCCAGCCACAACGCUACCUAAGAAAUCAAGAACCUGUUUACUAUAAGAACAAAGUCUGGACCCAAGACUUAAUAACCAGUAGAGUAGGAGUGACAGCAUCCCAACAACCAGGCAAGGAGCCAUGAGAAGAAGACUGGCAGCUCUGCUGGGGCUUCUGUUGGCUCAAAUUUUCUCAGGGGCAAAGGGACUGGAGGUGAAGCAGAGUCCUUCAUGGCUGAGUGUCCAGGAGGGUGCCAGCCCUACCCUGAACUGCACUUUUUCUGCUUCAGUGAGAAGUGUACAGUGGUUCCAACAAAAUCCUGGGAGCAGCCUCAUCAGUCUUUUCUUCAUAUCUUCAGGGACAAAGCAGAACAGAAGGUUGAAGGCAACAGUUAACUCUCAGGAGCGCUACAGCACCCUCCACAUCACAACCACCCAGGUGGAAGACUCAGGCACCUACCUCUGUGCAGCAGAGGCACAGUGAUGCCAGGGCGUCUGUAACCUGGACCCAAACUGCAGCUGGUCCUCAGCCCCAGCCCUACCACAGGAGAGGCACGUGCCUUCUGCAUAGCAUUUGUGCUGCUUUGGGUUUUCUGAUUGAUGUUGGAGCACUUAUAUCUCUGCUAAGUUAGACAUUUCAGAAGUGUCAUUUCACUUGGUUUUCAUAUGCUUUUCUUCCCAGAAAUCACUGUACAGGAGUGAAGUUCUAAUAUGGAAUCAUGGAACAACUGAUAAAGAUGUCAAUGCAUUGUAUUGUCACAAUGGACUCGCUGGUGGAGCAUACAUAACUUACAUAUAAAGUGCUGUGAUGAGAAGGAGAACUUGGAAAAAUACAUAGUAGUCUACAAAUAGAAAUGUCUCAAUGCCUCAAUUAAUUGUAGGUAGUUCAAGUUUCUAGGAAAAAGGAAGAGCAUGUGAGAUGUAUAUGUGUAUGUAUACAGUAAGUGAAAAAUAUUUAAUGUCAUUCAGUGUCAGGCACUGUAUGUAGGCUAUUACAUGCAUGAUCUAAGUACUGACAAUACCUCUCCACUUUGCACACAACUAAAUUCGGUACUAUACAGUAUAAGUAAUCUAUCUGAUCACAUAACUAUGGAAAUGGGGUGGUUGGAUUCCCACUGAGUAAAUUUGACAUCAUAGCAUUUACUCUGAGCUAUGCUGUAUAGAAGAGUCCAGAAUCACAAUAUGCAUAUGAGUUGUACUGAUUUAAUCUAUACAGUGUGCUUACAUACAUCAUUGACAAAAAUGUUCUUUUUUAGUCCUUUCUAAAUAGCGCUUUAUCAGGUAGAGCUCAUUGAACUUCUCAUUUUGUUACAUUAAAAUCCAUUUUCAUUUCUUGUGUUUUGAAUGAGUCUAUUAUCCAUGAUUUUGUAACAUCAUUCAAGGUCUGAGAUACAAAUCAGAAAGCUUCCACAACUACUUUAAAGAAAUCCGUAUCUGCUGUAGCCACAAAUUGAGAUGUCUGACAAAUCAAAACCAAAGUUUAAACAUGCAGUGGUUCAAUGAC